ACUGAGUGUACUACUGAGUGUACUACUACUACUGAGUGUACUACUACUGAGUGUACUGCUGAGUGUACUACUACUGAGUGUACUACUACUACUGAGUGUACUACUACUACUGAGUGUACUACUACUGAGUGUACUACUACUACUGAGUGUACUACUACUGAGUGUACUGCUGAGUGUACUACUACUGAGUGUACUGCUGAGUGUACUACUACUACUGAGUGUACUACUACUGCUUGUACUACUGAGUGUACUACUACUGAGUGUACUGCUGAGUGUACUACUACUGAGUGUACUACUACUGAGUGUACUGCUGAGUGUACUACUGAGUGUACUACUACUGAGUGUACUGCUGAGUGAACUACUACUGAGUGUACUGCUGAGUGAACUACUACUGAGUGUACUGCUGAGUGAACUACUGCUGAGUGUACUGCUGAGUGUACUACUACUGAGUGUACUGCUGAGUGAACUACUACUGAGUGUACUGCUGAGUGUACUACUGAGUGUACUACUACUGAGUGUACUGCUGAGUGUACUACUACUGAGUGUACUGCUGAGUGUACUACUACUGAGUGUACUACUGAGUGUACUGCUGAGUGUACUACUACUGAGUGUACUGCUGAGUGAACUACUACUGAGUGUACUGCUGAGUGAACUACUACUGAGUGUAUGCUGAGUGUACUACUGAGUGUACUACUACUGAGUGUACUACUACUGAGUGUACUGCUGAGUGUACUACUACUGAGUGUACUGCUGAGUGUACUACUGAGUGUACUACUACUGAGUGUACUGCUGAGUGAACUACUACUGAGUGUACUGCUGAGUGUACUACUGAGUGUACUACUACUGAGUGUACUGCUGAGUGUACUACUGAGUGUACUACUACUGAGUGUACUGCUGAGUGAACUACUACUGAGUGUACUGCUGAGUGAACUACUACUGAGUGUACUACUACUGAGUGUACUACUACUGAGUGUACUACUACUGAGUGUACUACUACUGAGUGUACUACUACUGAGUGUACUGCUACUGAGUGUACUACUACUGAGUGUACUACUACUGAGUGUACUACUACUGAGUGUACUACUACUGAGUGUACUACUGCUGAGUGUUCUACUACUGAGUGUACUGCUGAGUGAACUACUACUGAGUGUACUGCUGAGUGAACUACUACUGAGUGUACUACUACUGAGUGUACUACUACUGAGUGUACUGCUGAGUGUUCUACUACUGAGUGUACUGCUGAGUGUACUACUACUGAGUGUACUGCUGAGUGUACUACUACUGAGUGUACUGCUGAGUGUAAUACUGAGUGUAAUACUGUACUCCUAUUCCCGAAGUGGCAUUACAGAUUCUGACAGGGAAAAACUCCCACUAUGAAUAAACAGUAUCAUAGAUAGAUUAGAUUGUAAUAUGGUUCUUCUCUGUGAGGGAUUAGGUCCAGGCUUUGGUACUGUCUGGAUAAACCAAGCAGACCUGGGUUCAAAUAGUAUUUGUAAAAAAAAAAAAAAAGACAAGCUCAGGUCAAUCUUUCUUCUGAUCCAAGGAUGACCUAAAGCCAACUGCACCUCCG
ensembl:lncRNA